CGGCGUGAGAUUUGGGAUGCGGCAUUAUAAAAAGAUUCCGGUUGAGGGAGUUAGAAGGGCGGCAUUUGUAAAUAAAACAAAAAUCCAUCCCCCAAUAAGUCUCUGUAAGGUUAAUCUUUCCCUCCAAAACCACCCAAGGGCAGCUCUAUCAUUUAAUAUGGACUUCAACGACAGUUGGUGGCAAAGUGGAUGGCAGAACUUAAAAAUAAGUCCUUAACAGUUUCAGGACCUUUUAUCCCACCUGAAAAGUUGAGGGAUUUAAAAAUAAUUCUAAAUCAAUCCAGGGACUUAUAG
rnacentral:lncRNA from 1 species